rnacentral:rRNA from 1 species
GACAGAGGAUGCAAACGUUGCUCGGAUUUACUGGGCGUAAAGCGCGCGCAGGCGGUCCCGUAAGUCGGACGUGAAAGCCCAGGGCUCAACCUUGGAAGUGCGUCCGAUACUGCGAGACUGGAGUACUGGAGAGGAGAGCGGAAUUCCCGGUGUAGAGGUGAAAUUCGUAGAUAUCGGGAGGAACACCAGUGGCGAAGGCGGCUCUCUGGGACAGAUACUGACGCUGAGGCGCGAAAGCGUGGGAAGCAAACAGG